AGCGAACGCUGGCGGCAGGCCUACCACAUGCAAGUCGAACGGACCCUUCGGGGUUAGUGGCGGACGGGUGAGUAACACGUGGGAACGUGCCUUUAGGUUCGGAAUAGCCCCUGGAAACGGGUGGUAAUGCCGAAUGUGCCCUUCGGGGGAAAGAUUUAUCGCCGCUAGAGCGGCCCGCGUCUGAUUAGCUAGUUGGUGAGGUAAUGGCUCACCAAGGCGACGAUCAGUAGCUGGUCUGAGAGGAUGACCAGCCACAUUGGGACUGAGACACGGCCCAAACUCCUACGGGAGGCAGCAGUGGGGAAUCUUGCGCAAUGGGCGAAAGCCUGACGCAGCCAUGCCGCGUGGAUGAUGAAGGUCUUAGGAUUGUAAAAUCCUUUCACCGGUGAAGAUAAUGACUGUAGCCGGAGAAGAAGCCCCGGCUAACUUCGUGCCAGCCGCCGCCGUAAUAC
rnacentral:rRNA from 1 species